rnacentral:lncRNA from 1 species
UUAUUUAUUUAUAAUUCAUGCACUAAUACAAAAGGAGCACAACCGUCAACAGGCUGACGAUUGGCUUUGGGACACUAUUUCCAACAGUUGCCUGCCUUCAGAGGAAGUUGUCUGAGAGAGUCCAGUCCGCCUCUGCACAAGGCUCCGACGAGCUCCGCUUCUUGAGGGAGACCAUGAAAGAACUGUCUGUGGCCCUUAGGCGGGAGAA